rnacentral:lncRNA from 1 species
GGCGGUUGGGUACGGUGGGAUGGGUCUGUGUUUUUUGUAGGUUACUUUUUGAAUUUUAUUUUGUUUAUAUAUUUUUUUAUUUUUUGUUACAAUAUUUGGAAUUGAAACUAAUUUUGUUACUUUAAAAUUUUAGAAUUUGUGGUAAAAUAAGUAUCAAUUUCAUCAUCAUGUCUUUUUUGGUAAUUAUACAUACUAAAAGCAUUUCUAAUAAAAAUUUACCAAACAUUUUGACUCUUCACUGUACUUUUUCUAAUAUAGUUUACCAAACACCUAUGUGUAUUUUUUCACAGCUAUUUAUUCUCACAACACAGUAAGAGCAGUUUUUAAAAAAAGCACAGUAAUACCAAACUAGUCUUUAAUGUAUACGAACAGUAAGCUAUUUUUUAUUAUUUAU